rnacentral:rRNA from 1 species
GCGGCGGACGGGUGAGUAACACGUGGGCAACCUGCCCUGCAGACUGGGAUAACUUCGGGAAACCGGAGCUAAUACCGGAUAACACCGAAAACCGCAUGGUUUUCGGUUGAAAGGCGGCUUUUAGCUGUCACUGCAGGAUGGGCCCGCGGCGCAUUACCUAGUUGGUGAGGUAACGGCUCACCAAGGCGACGAUGCGUAGCCGACCUGAGAGGGUGACCGGCCACACUGGGACUGAAACACGGCCCAAACUCCUACGGGAGGCAGCAGUAGGGAAUCUUCCGCAAUGGACGAAAGUCUGACGGAGCAACGCCGCGUGAGCGAAGAAGGUCUUCGGAUCGUAAAGCUCUGUUGUCAGGGAAGAACAAGUACCGUUCGAACAGGGCGGUACCUUGACGGUACCUGACGAGGAAGCCACGGCUAACUACGUGCCAGCAGCCGCGGUAAUAC